GACGUAGGGCGCGAGCGUUGUCCGGAUUUAUUGGGCGUAAAGAGCUCGUAGGCGGCUUGUCGCGUCGACUGUGAAAACUCGGGGCUCAACUCCGAGCUUGCAGUCGAUACGGGCAGACUAGAGGUAUGCAGGGGAGAACGGAAUUCCUGGUGUAGCGGUGAAAUGCGCAGAUAUCAGGAGGAACACCGGUGGCGAAGGCGGUUCUCUGGGCAUUACCUGACGCUGAGGAGCGAAAGUGUGGGGAGCGAACAGG
rnacentral:rRNA from 1 species